rnacentral:lncRNA from 1 species
UCAUAGGCUGCGGUCGAGAAGACGCUCUGGAUGCUUUGAAACAUCAUUCUAUCUUUGUUCUAUAUUCUAUGAGAAUAAAGAUAGAAUGAUGUUUCGGAGCAUUCGUAAUGCAGUCUUGACCGCAGCCAUAAAAAUAACAUAUUCAAGAGGCAGGUUUAACCUAAAAAAUUGUAUGUACUAGUGCUAAUAAAAAUACAUUUUUAUUGAUAGUACAAUACAAUAGAAAUUUAGUGCUUAGAAGUGAAUAGACAUUUAAUGCUUUUAAUAAGUGAGUGCAAUAUAAUAAAAAAUACAACGGUAUGUUUCGCAGAUGGAAAAGAUAUCUUCGGAUUUGAUGAUUUUGAUUAAUUAACCUAGGAAUUAUACUGCGACAUGUACUCGUAUUUUGUUGUUUUUUGGGAUGAAUGGUACAAUACCGGAAUGGUACAAUACCGCUACAAUACCGGAUUCUUGAAUUAUCUUAAAGUCUCAAGUUUUUAAAUGGCCACCCAAAAAUAAGAAUGCUACUAAUGAAAGUAAAAGAGGAACAAAGCCUCAAGAAAAGUGGAUAACAGUUCCAUAUUCCAAAUUAUUAGGACCUUUCGAUACUUUCAAAGAAGCGAGAGAAGUUGAGAACAAUACUUUAGAUAUUUCAACGAAUGAUGAAAACUUGCGGAAGUGACAAAAAAGAAAAAUACUGAGGUUUCACAAAAACGUGCAAUUCAAAAACCAUAUCGUUUUCUUUCUUCCUCUUCCAAUUCUUCUUCUGAGGAAGAAGAGGAAAGUCAAACAAAGACAAAAGCUAUUAAGAGGAAGAGUAGUCAACAUUCAAUGAACCAAACAACAAAUAAAAAUCUAAUAGAGCCAACAGAAAAUUCAUGUAAUAAUAAACCUCCAACAAAUUACAAAUCACUAAAUGCAAGAGAAUUUUGUCAUACGUCGAUUAAAGAAUCAUGGAAUGAAAAUGAUUACUAGAUUGCACUAAGGAACAAAUUUUUGAGAAAGACGAAUUUAUUUUCUUUUUCACUUUAUUCGAAAAGAUAUUUCUUUAGAAUUACAGGCUGAUAUACUUACACAUGAAGAUCCUUUAUGCAUCACGAAAACUGAAUCAAAAUCAAAAGUGUCAGAAAAACCAACAAUCAAAAAUAUUGUUGUAACAAAUAUACCAUUACUUGUUGGAAUCUUACAUAAUAAAAAAAAUGGCAAGAAUCAAUCAUGGAAUAGUGAAAAUAAUAUCCAAAAAUUACAGCUAAAUGAUCGAAAUACAGAAACAGACAAGGAACAAAAAUCAGGCAGUCAUCAUGAAAUGCAGACAUCACAAAAUACCAGCCAAAAGCAAAAAAUAGAUAAUCAUCAAGAAUGUUGCAGAGUUUGUCGGAACGAUAUUUCAACGAUUUUACGUACUGUGAUAGGAAUACGACAAAUACUUUUAGAUUCAAAUCCACACCAGUUACAAGGAGAAAAUAUUGAUUUGGAUUUGCCGAUUUUUAAUGUUAAGAAAUUAGAUGAAUUUAAUAAAAGACUUUGUGAAGAUUGUACUACUCGAUUGUAAUAUCAAAGAAUGAUUCGGACAAUAGGAGGUAUAACCCCACAUAAACAUGUACGAAACGCGAUGCGUUUAACAAUAGCUGAUACGUUAGCUUACCAAAUGACUUGGACUAAUAAAAAAAAAUAAGAUUGAAACUCAGAACAUGAAAUUCAUCAAUCUCAUUAUUGAAACUCUCGUUACUGAUCGGAAUAUUUCUAUCGCCAAUGUGCAAAAAGUAUUAAAAUCAUGGUUGCAACAUGCCGGCGAUCGAAUAAAUCGAAGACAAAAAGAAGAAAUUCAAAAUGAGUCAGUGGAUGAUUAAUACUUUUAUAAUAAUAUAUAAUAUAAUAAUAAUAAUAACUUAAUAUAAUUAUGACAUGGACGUAUCCAGAA